CAGUAGCCGCGGUAAUACAGAGGCCUCAAGCGUUGUUCGGAUUCAUUGGGCGUAAAGGGUGCGUAGGUGGCUUGGUAAGUUGAAGGUGAAAUCUCGGGGCUUAACCCCGAAACUGCCUUCAAUACUGCUAGGCUCGAGGACUGUAGAGGAGAAUGGAAUUCACGGUGUAGCAGUGAAAUGCGUAGAUAUCGUGAGGAAGACCAGUGGCGAAGGCGAUUCUCUGGGCAGUUCCUGACACUGAGGCACGAAGGCCAGGGGAGCAAACGGGAUUAGAUACCCCCGUAGUCCCUGUCUCUUAUAC
rnacentral:rRNA from 1 species